UCGAGAAUCAUUCGCAAUGGGCGAAAGCCUGACGAUGCGACGCCGUGUGAGCGAUGAAGGCCUUAGGGUCGUAAAGCUCUUUCGCUUGGGAACAAGAGACGCUAGCUAAUAUCUAGCAAAUUUGAGGGUACCAGGUAAAGAAGCACCGGCUAACUCCGUGCCAGCAGCUGCGGUAAUACGGAGGGUGCAAGCAUUAAUCGGAUUUAUUGGGCGUAAAGGGCGCGUAGGCUGGUUUGUAAGUCAGAUGUGAAAUCCCGGGGCUCAACCUCGGAACAGCAUUUGAAACUGCAUACCUAGAGGGUAGGCGGAGAAAACGGAAUUCCACAAGUAGCGGUGAAAUGCGUAGAUAUGUGGAAGAACACCGGUGGCGAAGGCGGUUUUCUAGCUUACUCCUGACGCUGAGGCGCGAAAGCAAGGGGAUCAAACA
rnacentral:rRNA from 1 species